rnacentral:snRNA from 1 species
UUCGCUUCUCGGCCUUUUGGCUAAGAUCAAGUGUAGAAAAUUAAUAAAUAUUUUAGUGUGGAUUUCUAAUAUAUACAUUGUUGUAUGCAUCUGUAUGCACACCCCACCCCAGCAUAUGCAAUUAUU